rnacentral:rRNA from 1 species
GACGAAGGACCCGAGCGUUAUCCGGAUUCACUGGGUUUAAAGGGUGCGUAGGAGGGCAGGUAAGUCAGUGGUGAAAUCUCCAAGCUUAACUUGGAAACUGCCGUUGAUACUAUCUGUCUUGAAUACCGUGGAGGUGAGCGGAAUAUGUCAUGUAGCGGUGAAAUGCUUAGAUAUGACAUAGAACACCAAUUGCGAAGGCAGCUCGCUACACGAAUAUUGACUCUGAGGCACGAAAGCGUGGGGAUCAAACAGG